rnacentral:piRNA from 1 species
UAGCACUGACUGACUGGCCUGC